UACGGGGGGGGCAAGCGUUGUUCGGAAUUAUUGGGCGUAAAGAGCUCGUAGGCGGUUCGUCGCGUCGGCUGUGAAAUCCCGAGGCUCAACCUCGGGUCUGCAGUCGAUACGGGCGGACUGGAGUUCGGCAGGGGAGACUGGAAUUCCUGGUGUAGCGGUGAAAUGCGCAGAUAUCAGGAGGAACACCGGUGGCGAAGGCGGGUCUCUGGGCCGAUACUGACGCUGAGGAGCGAAAGCGUGGGGAGCGAACAGG
rnacentral:rRNA from 1 species